rnacentral:rRNA from 1 species
CCCUUAGAUGUCCUGGGCCGCACGCGCGCUACACUGAGUGUCUGAGAUACGAGUCUGCCUGGUCCGGCAAGGUCUAGGGAAUCGCUAAAAGACACAUCAUGCUUGGGAUAGAUUAUUGCAAAUAUUAAUCUUGAACGAGGAAUUCCUAGUAAGCGCAAGUCAACAGCUUGCGUUGAUUACGUCCCUGCCCUUUGUACACACCGCCCGUCGCUACUACUGAUUGGAUGUUUAAGCGAGGUUCUCGAACUGCUAGCGACUUAGCUUCGGUGAGGUCGCAGUGUGGGAAGUGAACCUAGCUUUGGUGUCUAGAGGAAGUAAAAGUCGUAACA